rnacentral:rRNA from 1 species
GAUGAACGCUGGCGGCGUGCCUAAUACAUGCAAGUCGAGCGAACAGAUGAGGAGCUUGCUCCUCUGACGUUAGCGGCGGACGGGUGAGUAACACGUGGAUAACCUACCUAUAAGACUGGGAUAACUUCGGGAAACCGGAGCUAAUACCGGAUAAUAUAUUGAACCGCAUGGUUCAAUAGUGAAAGACGGUUUUGCUGUCACUUAUAGAUGGAUCCGCGCCGCAUUAGCUAGUUGGUAAGGUGACGGCUUACCAAGGCGACGAUGCGUAGCCGACCUGAGAGGGUGAUCGGCCACACUGGAACUGAGACACGGUCCAGACUCCUACGGGAGGCAGCAGUAGGGAAUCUUCCGCAAUGGGCGAAAGCCUGACGGAGCAACGCCGCGUGAGUGAUGAAGGUCUUCGGAUCGUAAAACUCUGUUAUUAGGGAAGAACAAAUGUGUAAGUAACUAUGCACGUCUUGACGGUACCUAAUCAGAAAGCCACGGCUAACUACGU